rnacentral:rRNA from 1 species
CCCGCACAAGCAGCGGAGCGUGUGGUUUAAUUCGAUGCUACACGAAGAACCUUACCUGGAUUUGACAUGCACGUAGUAGUGAACCGAAAGGGGAACGAGCCUUCGGGCAGCGUGCACAGGUGCUGCAUGGCUGUCGUCAGCUCGUGCCGUGAGGUGUUGGGUUAAGUCCCGCAACGAGCGCAACCCUCGUCGCUAGUUACAUGUGUCUAGCGAGACUGCCAGGUUAACCCUGGAGGAAGGUGGGGAUGACGUCAAGUCAGCAUGGCCUUUAUGUCCAGGGCUACACACACGCUACAAUGGUCGGUACAAUGGGAUGCCAAGCCGCGAGGCGGAGCAAAUCCUCAAAGCCGGCCUCAGUUCGGAUUGCAGGCUGCAAUUCGCCUGCAUGAAGUCGGAAUCGCUAGUAAUCGCAGGUCAGCAUACUGCGGUGAAUACGUUCCCGGGCCUU